UACGUAGGCAGCGAGCGUUGUUCGGAGUUACUGGGCGUAAAGGGUGCGUAGGCGGUUUUCCAAGUUUGGUGUGAAAUCUCCCGGCUCAACUGGGAGGGUGCGCCGAAAACUGGAGGACUGGAGUACCGGAGAGGUAAGCGGAAUUCCUGGUGUAGCGGUGAAAUGCGUAGAGAUCAGGAGGAACACCUGUGGUGUAGACAGCUUACUGGACGGUGACUGACGCUGAGGCACGAAAGCGUGGGGAGCGAACAGG
rnacentral:rRNA from 1 species